rnacentral:rRNA from 1 species
UCGAACGGUAACAGGAAGCAGCUUGCUGCUUCGCUGACGAGUGGCGGACGGGUGAGUAAUGUCUGGGAAACUGCCUGAUGGAGGGGGAUAACUACUGGAAACGGUAGCUAAUACCGCAUAACGUCGCAAGACCAAAGAGGGGGACCUUCGGGCCUCUUGCCAUCGGAUGUGCCCAGAUGGGAUUAGCUAGUAGGUGGGGUAACGGCUCACCUAGGCGACGAUCCCUAGCUGGUCUGAGAGGAUGACCAGCCACACUGGAACUGAGACACGGUCCAGACUCCUACGGGAGGCAGCAGUGGGGAAUAUUGCACAAUGGGCGCAAGCCUGAUGCAGCCAUGCCGCGUGUAUGAAGAAGGCCUUCGGGUUGUAAAGUACUUUCAGCGGGGAGGAAGGCGUUGAGGUUAAUAACCUUGUCGAUUGACGUUACCCGCAGAAGAAGCACCGGCUAACUCCGUGCCAGCAGCCGCGGUAAUACGGAGGGUGCAAGCGUUAAUCGGAAUUACUGGGCGUAAAGCGCACGCAGGCGGUCUGUCAAGUCGGAUGUGAAAUCCCCGGGCUCAACCUGGGAACUGCAUUCGAAACUGGCAUGCUAGAGUCUUGUAGAGGGGGGUAGAAUUCCCAGGUGUAGCGGUGAAAUGCGUAGAGAUCUGGA